GAGCAGGUUAUGAAACACCAGGUGGUAGAGCAGGUUAGGAAACACCAGGUGGUAGUGCAGGUUAGGAAACACCAGGUGGUAGAGCAGGUUAUGAAACACCAGGUGGUAGAGCAGGUUAGGAAACACCAGGUGGUAGAGCAGGUUAGGAAACACCAGGUGGUAGAGCAGGUUAGGAAACACCAGGUGGUAGAGCAGGUUAGGAAACACCAGGUGGUAGAGCAGGUUAUGAAACACCAGAUGGUAGUGCAGGUUAUGAAACACCAGGUGGUAGAGCAGGUUAGGAAACACCAGGUGGUAGAGCAGGUUAGGAAACACCAGGUGGUAGAGCAGGUUAGGAAACACCAGGUGGUAGAGCAGGUUAGGAAACACCAGGUGGUAGAGCAGGUUAGGAAACACCAGGUGGUAGAGCAGGUUAUGAAACACCAGGUGGUAGAGCAGGUUAGGAAACACCAGGUGGUAGAGCAGGUUAGGAAACACCAGGUGGUAGAGCAGGUUAGGAAACACCAGGUGGUAGAGCAGGUUAGGAAACACCAGGUGGUAGAGCAGGUUAUGAAACACCAGGUGGUAGAGCAGGUUAGGAAACACCAGGUGGUAGAGCAGGUUAUGAAACACCAGGUGGUAGAGCAGGUUAGGAAACACCAGGUGGUAGAGCAGGUUAGGAAACACCAGGUGGUAGAGCAGGUUAUGAAACACCAGGUGGUAGAGCAGGUUAGGAAACACCAGGUGGUAGAGCAGGUUAGGAAACACCAGGUGGUAGAGCAGGUUAUGAAACACCAGGUGGUAGAGCAGGUUAGGAAACACCAGGUGGUAGAGUAGGUUAGGAAACACCAGGUGGUAGAGCAGGUUAGGAAACACUGCAGGUUAGGAAAGACUUAGUGGCCUAGAGGAUAACUACUUUUAAAAAAAAAUGA